rnacentral:tRNA from 1 species
GCCUAGAUAGCUUAGUUGGUAGUGCGUCUGCCUCGUAAGCGCUAGGCCGCGGGUUCGAUUCCCUCCCGGGGCC